rnacentral:lncRNA from 1 species
GCAUUGUGCAGGUCUCCUACGCCAUCGGCGUGCCAGAGCCCCUCUCGGUGUUCGUCGACUCCUACGGCACCGGCAAGAUCCCCGACAAGGAGAUCCUGCAGAUCGUCAAGGAGAACUUCGAUUUCCGGCCAGGUAUGAUCACCAUCAACCUCGACCUGAAGAGGGGAGGCAACCGCUACCUCAAGACCGCCGCCUACGGCCACUUCGGCCGCGACGACCCCGACUUCACCUGGGAGGUCGUCAAGCCCCUCAAGUGGGAGAAGCCCGCGGCGUAAUCGCCCUCGCCGCCCUUCUCUCUUCCAUAUCCGCACGCCCACAAGCGCGCUGCUCACCGGCGCGCCGUCGCCGCCCUGUUGUCACCUUUUCCAGUCCUGUGCUCUGCGUCUGUCCUGCCUCGAACUCUCUUUUUCCCUUUUUGGGUUUCCUUCCUCCAUCCAUUUCCCUCUACGACGGAAAACAGAGAGAAUUUGGUUUUUUGUCCCCGCCUGGAUUAAAAAUAUUCGUCUU